rnacentral:rRNA from 1 species
UACGUAGGGAGCAAGCGUUGUCCGGAAUCAUUGGGCGUAAAGCGCGCGUAGGCGGCCCUGUAAGUCCGCUGUGAAAGUCAAAGGCUCAACCUUUGAAAGCCGGUGGAUACUGCAGGGCUAGAGUCCGGAAGAGGCGAGUGGAAUUCCUGGUGUAGCGGUGGAAUGCGCAGAUAUCAGGAGGAACACCAAUAGCGAAGGCAGCUCUCUGGGACGGUACUGACGCUGAGACGCGAAAGCGUGGGGAGCGAACAGG